UCUGAAAAAGAGGAUGACAUAAUCAGAAGGAGACCAUUUGGGGAACUUGGACUUCAAACCCAAACAGCACUUGUGAGGCACCCCUCCUGCUCCUUGCAGAGGUACUACCAGAGGAAACCUGCUGGAGAGUCAGGACUAACACCACUCAGUGGUAAAUCAGAGGAGCAUACCACUCACCAACAUUUUAAAAAGUAUGUCGCCAGCCGGGCGCGGUGGCUCACAUCUGUAAUCCCAGCACUUUGGGAGGCCGAGGCAGGCGGA